rnacentral:rRNA from 1 species
UACGUAGGUGACAAGCGUUGUCCGGAUUUACUGGGCGUAAAGAGCGCGCAGGCGGUCGUUCAAGUCGAGUGUGAAAGCCCCCGGCUCAACUGGGGAGGGUCAUUCGAUACUGAUCGACUCGAAGGCAGGAGAGGGUAGUGGAAUUCCCGGUGUAGUGGUGAAAUGCGUAGAGAUGUGGAGGAACACCAGUGGCGAAGGCGACUCUUUGGUCUGUAACUGACGCUGAGGCGCGAAAGCGUGGGGAGCAAACAGG